rnacentral:rRNA from 1 species
UACGUAGGGGCCUAGCGUUGUCCGGAUUUAUUGGGCGUAAAGAGCUCGUAGGCGGUUCGGUAAGUCAGGUGUGAAAUCUCCACGCUCAACGUGGAGGCGCCACCUGAAACUGCCGUGACUAGAGUCCGGUAGGGGAGUGUGGAAUUCCCGGUGUAGCGGUGAAAUGCGUAGAGAUCGGAAAGAACACCAACGGCGAAAGCACUCUGCUGGGCCGACACUGACACUGAGGGACGAAAGCUAGGGGAGCGAAUGGG